GCGCCUGUAGCUCAGUUGGUUAGAGCGGGCCGCUCAUAACGGCUUGGUCGCGGGUUCAAGUCCUGCCGGGCGCACCA
rnacentral:tRNA from 2 species